GCGGCGCGGUGGUCGGUACGCAGCACACAGCUGAUCAGUGGUCUCGACGGAAGGUAGCUGUACGGUUAUGCAUGAUUCGUUGUUUCUUGGUCGUUUCUCGGUAUAGCCCGAUCGUACAGAAAAAAAGUGCGCAAGAAAAAAAGAAACAAGAGAGAAAUAAACCGAGCAAGACAAUCGGACCGGAUGGACACUGCUCGUGUCGCGUACGGUGACAGGUGAAAGGCUGAAGCGAUAGCAAAGAGAGAGAAAGAGUUCCGGGUAGCAGAAACGACAAAUUGCGCGCGGAUACAUAAAUUCUUGACAAGCGACAAUUGGAAUGUGUGUUCUUGGUGCCUUCCUCUUGUAACGCGCCGACGAGGUGGAAGUGUUGGCGAAAAGUUGGCGGAAGAGAAGGAGAAAGUGUACAACAGCGUCGCAGCAACUCGCACGUCGGACGUUUCCGAUGGUUGCCGUCCGGUAGGCCCUGCCAGGAGGAUGGGGCCCCACGAUGGGGGAGUGUCACUGCUCUAACAUCACUAUCAUGCAGCUGUUCCACGAGCUGAAGCAGCAGUUCCCCGCGCUCCCUGAUCACGUCGUCUCCCAGUGCAUCGCCCAGAACAGUCACGACCGGGAGAUAUGCGCGAGAAGCCUGCGGGCCACUCAGGACUCCCGUCCGUCGCCGGGCGCAUUUCCGCCACCUGCGCCUUGCAUCGGGAUGCAGCAACCACCACCAUCGUAUCAACAACGAGAGCAACAGCACGCGUUGCAGCGUUGUUGCGCAAUGAACCAACAGCCGCAGCUGCUUUGCAACCAACGCGUUGCUGCCGCGAGCAAUGUCGCUGCGGCGAGUCGUCCUCACCGACCGGCGUCGCUGGACAUUGGAAUGACGCGACGUUGUCCAACGAUAAAUUGCACCCGCGCCGCCGUUACCGUCGCCGCGACCCCAGCGAGCGGCGUCGUUACUCCUUCGUCCGCGCCAGCUGUCUGCACGUCAAGCGCUUUCUUCGACGACGCUUACAUCGGCAACAGCAACAGCAGCAACGCGACAUCCGGUUUCGAGCUCAACGUCAACGUCGCUUGCAGCCCCGCCGGCAAUCGCGAUUUUCGAACAGUACCAACAAUCGGUGCCUGUAAACGAAGCGACCUUGUCGUCGUGCCACGACCUCAUUAUGCCGAACCGCUGUUAGCCAUCGGAAAACCCACCGGAGCGCAGAUCGAUCACACGCGAAGUUACACCUCGGUAAGUCUGACUCUCAGACCGCCGUCGUCCGAGCCGCAACCGCCGAUCGAUAUCAGGUCGGAAGGAUCGAGUCUGACUUAUUCGACCUCGUCCUUGGAUCCGCGCGGCUUCCAGAGCCGUUUGCAGAUCAGCAUAGGGCCCGGUAACGUCGGUAGCAUAGCAGCUGCAAGGAUCAGACCACCGAUGACCAACCUAUUGCCAACUCAAACCAGUCCGCAACGGCCACCUGGACUUCCACCAGGACCGCCGAGCCAAUUGCCAAGACCUACGACGACGAUGAGCGCACCGACGACACCUUCCGUACCGCCGACAACGAACAUCGUCCCAACGUGCAGUCUCCCGACGACGCCUUCCGGUCUCGCUAAGAGCAACACGCCUCCCUCCAGCUCGGUUGGCGAACAGACCGCUUCCGAUCAGAACCGAUCGCCGUUGAGCCAAGUGGCGGAGCACCAAAGGAAGCUGGUCGCGGAGCAACUGGCUAGAAAGGAGAGACUCGCCAGGGAGUUAAAAGCCGAGAAGGGACGACUCGAAGCGAUAAAGAAAGAAGUGCAGGCGCUUUCUCGACCAAAGAAUCUUUAUUCUCCUGAAGAACAAAGAAAAAAGCUGAAGAGUGAAAUAUAUAUGCUGCAAGUUGAGUGCGAGAGGCUUGCCGUUGAGGUGGAUCAAUGGUCGGACCGACCAGUACCACUAGGCGAGACCAACGAGGAAUUUUAUCAAGGCAUUUAUACCGAACAGUCGUUGUCGACAAGACCGCUGAAUCCGCAACCGCCACCCUUGCCGAGUCGGCCGCCAGCGUGGCGAACGGAUCAGCCAACAACGAGCGACAACAACCAGGAGGAGCGAGACGGGCCGUCGUGGGUCUGUACCAUGUGCACUUUUGACAAUCAUCCGUUGAUGAACAAGUGCGAAGAAUGUGACAUGCCGAGACUGUUGAAUUCUGGUGGCACAGGUACAACCGGAUCGUCAGCACCGAUACCGUCGUCUUCGUCUUCGACAACGGCGGCGGCACCGAUGUUGAAUUGUGUGUCGAAUCUUCUCUCGUCAUGAAUGCAGCGUGGACUUUUUUCCAGUCAUCUGGAAUAUAACUGCUUGUGCCUGAUUGCAUGCUGUAACUGACUUGUGAUAUCCCGGGAAACAAUUACAACUCAACGAUUUGUGAAUUUUAAUCAAUCGGACAGUUGACGUCACUUUGAUGCGAACAAUGAAUACGAUAUUUUGUUCUACCUUAUACUGCUAAGAAACUUAACCGAGUGUGUGAGAGUGUUAAACUGUUACAGAAAAUAAUGUACUUAAUUAUUAUUAUAAUCGUAUUGUUAGUGUAACCGAAAACAGAGCUUGGAAAGUUUUGUUUUCACACUUGUUGAAAAUGCGUGUGCAGUUGUUGAUUUUAAUAUAUUGCAUAACACAUUAAUGUUCUGUUUAUGUGUUAUAGUUCUGUUCAUAUAUGUACGUUACUAUGCUCGUUAAAAUUUUUGAUAACGCUUAUUUCAUAAAAGUUGUAAUCAAAGGUGAAACACAAGAUAUACAUAUACGAGUAACGCAUCAUCAUAAUUUUUCGCCAAGACAUACAGUACACAGUUGGG